GACUGUCUAAUUAAAACAAAGCAUUGUGAUGGCCCUAAUGAGUGUUGAGGUAAUGUGAUUUCUGCCCAGUGCUCUGAAUGUCAACGUGAAGAAAUUCAAAAAGCGCGGGUAAACGGCGGGAGUAACUAUGACUUUCUUCUGUCGAAUAAGACAACACAAAUACAAAUAAAC
rnacentral:misc_RNA from 13 species